AGGGCGCAUGGCGGAUGCCUUGGCUCUCGGAGGCGAUGAAGGACGUGAUAAGCUGCGAUAAGCUCCGGGGAGGUGCAAAUAACCUUUGAUCCGGGGAUUUCCGAAUGGGACAACCCGGCGUGUUGAAGACACGCCACCUGAUCAUUUCAGGAGCUAACGCAGGGAACUGAAACAUCUUAGUACCUGCAGGAAAAGAAAAUAACAAUGAUUCCCCCAGUAGUGGCGAGCGAACGGGGAAUAGCCCAAACCGUUCAUGUUACGGCAUGAUCGGGGUUGUAGGACUACGUCGUUGCAUGAAGACAUCGGAGAAGAACUUUCUGGAAAGAAAGACCAUAGAGCAUGACAGUUGCGUAUUCGUAUGUUGUCGAAGCAUAGUAGUAUCCUGAGUAGCGCGGAGCACGAGGAAUUCUGCGUGAAUCUGCCGGGACCAUCCGGUAAGGCUAAAUACUCCCGAGAGACCGAUAGCGAACCAGUACCGUGAGGGAAAGGUGAAAAGCACUUCGAACAGAAGAGUGAAAUAGUUCCUGAAACCGUGCGCCUACAAGCGGUCGGAGCUGCUUAAAGCAGUGACGGCGUGCCUUUUGCAUAAUGAACCUACGAGUUGCCUUUGCCGGCAAGGUUAAGUGUGACGACACACGUAUCCGAAGCGAAAGCGAGUCUGAAUAGGGCGUAUAGUCGGCAGUGGCAGACGCGAAACCAAGUGAUCUACCCUUGGCCAGGUUGAAGGCUGGGUAACACCAGCUGGAGGACCGCACCAAUAAGCGUUGAAAAGCUUCUGGAUGAGCUGAGGGUAGGGGUGAAAGGCUAAUCAAACUUGGAGAUAGCUCGUACUCCCCGAAAUGCAUUUAGGUGCAGCCUUGUGGGUUACUGAUGUGAGGUAGAGCGACUGAUAAGAUGCGAGGGCUUCACCGCCUAUCAAGUCUUGACAAACUCCGAAUGCGCAUCAGUUUUACCUCAGGAGUGAGGGCAUGGGUGCUAAGGUCCGUGCCCGAGAGGAGAAGAAUCCGGACCACCUGCUAAGGUCCCGAAAUGACAGCUAAGUUAAACUAACGAAGUCUGACUGCUAAGACAGCUAGGAUGUUGGCUUGGAAGCAGCCAUUCAUUUAAAGAGUGCGUAACAGCUCACUAGUCGAGGAGUCUGGCGUGGAUAAUAAUCGGGUAUUAAGUUGUCUACCGAAGCAGUGGGAUCAUUGAAAUGAUCGGUAGGGGAGCAUUCCAGUCAGCGUCGAAGGCGUACCGCGAGGUAUUCUGGAGCGUCUGGAAAAGCAAAUGUAGGUAUAAGUAACGAUAAAGGGGGCGGGAAACCCCCUCGCCGAAAGACUAAGGUUUCCUGAUCAACGCUAAUCGGAUCAGGGUAAGUCGGGUCCUAAGGCUCAGCCGAAGGGCGAUGCCGAUGGCAGAAACGGUUAAUAUUCCGUUACUACCUCCAGGAGUGAUGUGGAGACGCAGUAGUGACAAUGCCGCCAUCUGACGGAAUAGAUGGUUGAAGGGUGUAGAUGUUGAUCUUGGCAGGCAAAUCCACCAUGAGAAUCGAACCUGAUAGUAUGCCGCGUCCCUCGGGACAAGGCAAUAGUGCAUGUAAUCAUGCUGCCAAGAAAAUCCGCUAAACAAAAUCCUGUAGGUACCCGUACCGUAAACGGACACACGUAGUCGGGAUGAAUAUUCUAAGGCGCUUGAGUGAUUCACGGUUAAGGAACUAGGCAAACUGACCCUGUAACUUCGGGAUAAAGGGUCCCUACCCGGUGACGGGAGGGCGCAGAGAAUAGGUCCAGGCAACUGUUUAACAAAAACACAGGGCUGUGCUAAAUCGAAAGAUCCUGUAUACAGCCUGACACCUGCCCGGUGCUGGAAGGUUAAGAGGAGACGUCAUCGUUGAGAGAAGCGUUGAAUUGAAGCCCCAGUAAACGGCGGCCGUAACUAUAACGGUCCUAAGGUAGCGAAAUUCCUUGUCGGGUAAGUUCCGACCUGCACGAAUGGUGUAAUGAUCUGGACGCUGUCUCAACCGUGAGCUCAGUGAAAUUGUAGUAUCGGUGAAGAUGCCGAUUACCCGCGAUGGGACGAAAAGACCCCGUGAACCUUUACUAUAGCUUAUCAUUGAAUCUGGGCACGUGAUGUGUAGGAUAGGUCGGAGGCUUUGAAGGGGGUACGCCAGUAUCCUUGGAGCCGCUGUUGAAAUACGACCCUUCAUUUGUUUGGAUUCUAACCCGUGUAUAUGGGGACACUGAUUGGUGGGUAGUUUGACUGGGGUGGUCGCCUCCAAAAGCGUAACGGAGGCUUCU
rnacentral:rRNA from 1 species